GAUGAACGCUGGCGGCGUGCCUAACACAUGCAAGUCGAACGGAGAUUACGGACGGAAGUUUUCGGAUGGAAGACUGUAAUUCUUAGUGGCGGACGGGGGAGUAACGCGUGGGCAACCUGCCCUAUACAGGGGGAUAGCAGCUGGAAACGGCUGGUAAGACCGCAUAAUUCGGCGAGACCGCAUGGUUUUGCCGGGAAAUGAGCAAUCAGGUAUAGGAUGGGCCCGCGUCCGAUUAGCCAGUUGGCAGGGUAAAAGCCUACCAAAGCAACGAUCGGUAGCCGGACUGAGAGGUCGGUCGGCCACAUUGGGACUGAGACACGGCCCAAACUCCUACGGGAGGCAGCAGUGGGGGAUAUUGCACAAUGGAGGAAACUCUGAUGCAGCGACGCCGCGUGAGUGAAGAAGUAUUUCGGUAUGUAAAGCUCUAUCAGCAGGGAAGAUGAUGACGGUACCUGACGAAGAAGCCCCGGCUAACUACGUG
rnacentral:rRNA from 1 species